ACCAGUCUUCUCCUAACUGUACUGCAGAAAACACGCUUGACGAGCGAAUUCUAAGCAGGAGUGUUGCUCGAUGAACGAUAACUUCCGAUUGUGACGAUACCAGAAAUUAAGGACAAAGUGUCUACGAACCUAAAUCUAUU